rnacentral:rRNA from 1 species
ACCUCGGAUCAGGUAGGAAUACCCGCUGAACUUAAGCAUAUCAAUAAGCGGAGGAAAAGAAACCAACAGGGAUUGCCCUAGUAACGGCGAGUGAAGCGGCAACAGCUCAAAUUUGAAAUCUGGCCUUCGGGUCCGAGUUGUAAUUUGUAGAGGAUGCUUUUGGUGAGGUGCCUUCCGAGUUCCCUGGAACGGGACGCCAUAGAGGGUGAGAGCCCCGUCUGGGUUGGACACCGAUCCUCUGUAAAGCUCCUUCGACGAGUCGAGUAGUUUGGGAAUGCUGCUCUAAAUGGGAGGUAUAUGUCUUCUAAAGCUAAAUAUUGGCNAGAGACCGAUAGCGCACAAGUAGAGUGAUCGAAAGAUGAAAAGCACUUUGAAAAGAGAGUUAAAAAGUACGUGAAAUUGUUGAAAGGGAAGCGCUCAUGACCAGACUUGGGCUUGGUUGAUCAUCCAGGGUUCUCCCUGGUGCACUCUUCCAGUUCAGGCCAGCAUCAGUUCGCUGUGGGGGAUAAAGGCUUUGGGAAUGUGGCUCCCUCGGGAGUGUUAUAGCCCAUUGUGUAAUACCCUGUGGUGGACU